rnacentral:lncRNA from 1 species
GUAGCAGAGAUUCUUCCAGCGCCCGGGAAGCUACUGGGUAAGAGCACCUGGCCCUUAGAAGUCCACCUCUCCAGCCGGCCUCAGAGGUCUCCCCACAGGCUUCCAGAAGCCUUACUCCCCUUUUCUCUCUCUCAGGGCCCUGCGUGGUGGGCUAUGGGAUAUACUAUUUCAUCUACAGUACAUGGAAGGGACGCACCAUUUAUCUGGAGGAUAUCUAUGUGAUGCCGGAAUAUCGGGGUACUGGGCAGAAGCUGAGGCUGGGGUGGGAGCAAAGCACCCCACAGACCCC